UGGGGGAUAUUGCACAAUGGGCGAAAGCCUGAUGCAGCGACGCCGCGUGGGGGAUGAAGGCUUUCGGGUUGUAAACCUCUUUCGCUAUCGAACAAGGCCCGCUUAGUGUGGGUUGAGGGUAGGUGGAGAAGAAGCGCCGGCUAACUACGUGCCAGCAGCCGCGGUAAUACGUAGGGCGCGAGCGUUGUCCGGAAGUAUUGGGCGUAAAGGGCUUGUAGGCGGCUCGUUGCGCCUGCUGUGAAAACGCGGGGCUUAACUUCGCGCGUGCAGUGGGUGCGGGCAGGCUUGAGUGUGGUAGGGGUGACUGGAAUUCCAGGUGUAGCGGUGGAAGGCGCAGAUAUCUGGGGGAACACCGAUGGCGAAGGGAGGUGACUGGGCCAUUACUGACGCUGAGGAGCGAAAGCAUGGGUAGCGAACAGG
rnacentral:rRNA from 1 species